rnacentral:rRNA from 1 species
GGGUUAGUAGAUUGGUCAUGCCUCUGGUAUGCACUGGUCUUACUGAUUCCUCCUUCCUGAUGAACCGUAAUGCCAUUAAUUUGGUGUUGCGGGGAAACUGGACUGUUACUUUGAAAAAAUUAGAGUGUUUAAAGCAGGCUAACGCUUGAAUACAUUAGCAUGGAAUAAUGAAAUAGGACGUUCGAUCUUAUUUUGUUGGUUUCUAGGAUUGACGUA